rnacentral:rRNA from 1 species
GUAGGUGGCAAGCGUUGUCCGGAAUUAUUGGGCGUAAAGCGCGCGCAGGUGGUUCUUUAAGUCUGAUGUGAAAGACCCCCGGGCUCAACCGGGGAGGGUCAUUGGAAACUGGGGAACUUGAGUGCAGGAGAGGAAAGUGGAAUUCCACGUGUAGCGGUGAAAUGCGUAGAUAUGUGGAGGAACACCAGUGGCGAAGGCGACUUUCUGGCCUGUAACUGACACUGAGGCGCGAAAGCGUGGGGAGCAAACAGGAUUAGAUACCCUGGUAGUCCACGCCGUAAACGAUGAGUGCUAAGUGUUGGGGGGUUUCCGCCCCUCAGUGCUGCAGCUAACGCAUUAGGCACUCCGCCUGGGGAGUACGGUCGCAAAGACUG